GACGAACGCUGGCGGCGUGCUUAACACAUGCAAGUCGAACGGAAAGGCCCUGCUUUUGUGGGGUGCUCGAGUGGCGAACGGGUGAGUAACACGUGAGUAACCUGCCCUUGACUUUGGGAUAACUUCAGGAAACUGGGGCUAAUACCGGAUAGGAGCUCCUGCUGCAUGGGGGGGGUUGGAAAGUUUCGGCGGUUGGGGAUGGACUCGCGGCUUAUCAGCUUGUUGGGGGGGUAGUGGCUUACCAAGGCUUUGACGGGUAGCCGGCCUGGGAGGGUGACCGGCCACAUUGGGACUGAGAUACGGCCCAGACUCCUACGGGAGGCAGCAGUGGGGAAUAUUGCACAAUGGGCGGAAGCCUGAUGCAGCAACGCCGCGUGCGGGAUGACGGCCUUCGGGUUGUAAACCGCUUUCGCCUGUGACGAAGCGUGAGUGACGGUAAUGGGUAAAGAAGCACCGGCUAACUACGUG
rnacentral:rRNA from 1 species